GUGAUAAGCUGCGAUAAGCUUCGGGGAGUUGCACGUAAACUUUGAUCCGAAGAUUUCCGAAUGAGGAAACUCACUUAGAGUAAUGUCUAAGUAUCAUUAAGUGAAUACAUAGCUUAAUGAGGGGAACUCAGGGAACUGAAACAUCUAAGUACCUGAAGGAAGAGAAAGAAAUUCGAUUCCGUAAGUAGCGGCGAGCGAACGCGGAUUAGCCCAAACCAAUAAAGUUUUCUUUAUUGGGGUUGCGGACAUAUCAUAACGAAGAGGUAUCGUAAUUGAAGAGGUUUGGAAAGACCCACCACAGAAGGUAAUAGUCCUGUAUGUUAAACGAGAAGACUUCAGAUAUGAUCCAGAGUACCACGGGACACGUGAAACCCUGUGGGAAGCAGGAGGGACCACCCUCCAAGGCUAAAUACUACCUAGUGACCGAUAGCGUAUAGUACCGUGAGGGAAAGGUGAAAAGAACCCCGGGAGGGGAGUGAAAUAGAACCUGAAACCCUGCACUUACAAGCUGUGGAAGCACAUUUCUUGUGUGACCGCGUACUUUUUGUAGAACGGGCCAACGAGUUACGUUAAGUAGCAAGGUUAAGCACUUAAGGUGUGGAGCCGUAGCGAAAGCGAGUUUUAACUGAGCGUUCAGUUACUUGACGUAGACCCGAAACCGGGCGACCUACCCAUGAGCAGGAUGAAGCGAAAGUAAAAUUUCGUGGAGGUCCGAACCCACGAGCGUUGAAAAGCUCGGGGAUGACUUGUGGGUAGCGGUGAAAUUCCAAUCGAGCCCGGAGAUAGCUGGUUCUCCCCGAAAUAGCUUUAGGGCUAGCCUCAAGGUGAGAGAUACGGAGGUAGAGCACUGAAUGUCCUAGGGGGUAUUGCACCUACCGAAGACUAUCAAACUCCGAAUGCCGUCAUCUUAUACUUGGGAGUCAGACUGUGGGUGAUAAGAUUCAUAGUCGAAAGGGCAACAGCCCAGAUCGUCAGCUAAGGUCCCUAAAUGUAAGUUAAGUGGUAAAGGAUGUGGGAUUGCACAGACAACCAGGAUGUUGGCUUAGAAGCAGCCACUCAUUCAAAGAGUGCGUAAUAGCUCACUGGUCGAGUGAUCCUGCGCCGAAGAUUUCCGGGGCUAAAACUUACUACCGAAGCUACGGCAUCAGUAAUGAUGGGUAGGGGAGCUUCCCAUACGGGUUGAAGCAUGACCGUAAGGACAUGUGGACAGUAUGGGAGUGAGAAUGUUGGCAUGAGUAGCGAGAUGUGGGUGAGAAUCCCACAGGCCGUAAACCCAAGGUUUCCAGGGGAAGGUUCGUCCGCCCUGGGUUAGUCGGGACCUAAGCUGAGGCCGAAAGGCGUAGGUGAUGGACAACAGGUUGAUAUUCCUGUACUACCGAUAACCGUUUGAGAGAAGGGAUGACACAGUAGGAUAAGCUAAGCACACUGUUGGUUAUGUGUGCCCAAGCAUUGAGGCAGUCAAAGUAGGCAAAUCCGCUUUGAUAAUGCUGGGAUGUGAUGGGGAGCGAAAUUUAGUAGCGAAGUAGCUGAUUUCACACUGUCAAGAAAAGUCUCUAUCGAGGUUAAAGGUACCCGUACCGCAAACCGACACAGGUGGGUGAGGAGAGUAUCCUAAGGCCAGCGAGAGAACUGUUGUUAAGGAACUCGGCAAAAUGACCCCGUAACUUAGGGAUAAGGGGUGCCACCAUCAGGUGGCCGCAGAGAAUAGGCCCAAGCGACUGUUUACCAAAAACAUAGGUUUCUGCUAAGUCGCAAGACGAUGUAUAGGAGCUGACGCCUGCCCGGUGCUGGAAGGUUAAGGGGAUCUGUUAGAGCAAUCGAAGCAGUGAACUUAAGCCCCAGUAAACGGCGGCCGUAACUAUAACGGUCCUAAGGUAGCGAAAUUCCUUGUCGGGUAAGUUCCGACCCGCACGAAAGGCGUAACGAUUUGGGCACUGUCUCAACAACAGACUCGGUGAAAUUGUAAUUCCGGUGAAGAUGCCGGAUACCUGCGACAGGACGGAAAGACCCCAUGGAGCUUUACUGUAGCUUGACAUUGGGUCUUGGUACUACAUGUACAGGAUAGGUGGGAGGCUUUGAAACCAGGACGCCAGUUUUGGCGGAGCCAUCCUUGGGAUACCACCCUUGUAGUACUGGGACUCUAACCAUAGGCCAUGAAUCUGGUCUUGGGACACUGUCAGGUGGGCAGUUUGACUGGGGCGGUCGCCUCCCAAAAGGUAACGGAGGCGCUCAAAGGUUCUCUCAGUACGGUCGGAAAUCGUACGUAGAGUGUAAAGGCAAAAGAGAGCUUGAUUGCAAGACAUACAGGUCGAGCAAGGAUGAA
rnacentral:rRNA from 1 species